CAAGUCGAACGAAUCUCUGGGGGCUUGCUCCCAGGGGAAAGUGGCGAAAGGGGCAGUAAGGCGUGGGUAACCUACCUCGGGGACCGGGAUAGCCCUCCUAACGGAGGGGUAAUACCGGGCGAGGUUGCUGAGGCGCAUGUUUCGGCAAUGAGAUGAGUUCCGCAAGGAAUUUCGCCUCGAGAGGGGCUCACGUGGUAUUAGCUUGUUGGUGAGGUAACGGCUCACCAAGGCAAAGAUGCCUAGCGGGUGUGAGAGCACGACCCGCGCCACUGGCACUGAGACACUGGCCAGACUCCUACGGGAGGCUGCAGUCGAGGAUCUUCGGCAAUGGGCGCAAGCCUGACCGAGCGACGCCGCGUGUGCGAUGAAGGCCUUCGGGUUGUAAAGCACUGUCGAGGGGGAGGAAAGCCCGCAAGGGUCUGACCUAUCCCUGGAGGAAGCACGGGCUAAGUUCGUGCCANCAGCCGCGGUAAGACGAACCGUGCGAACGUUGUUCGGAAUCACUGGGCUUAAAGGGCGCGUAGGCGGGCUGUCAAGUCCGGGGUGAAAUCUUUCGGCUCAACCGGAAAAGUGCCUUGGAUACUGAUGGUCUGGAGGGAGGUAGGGGUAUGUGGAACUUCCGGUGGAGCGGUGAAAUGCAUUGAUAUCUUAAGGAACGCCGGUGGCGAAAGCGACGUACUGGACCUCUUCUGACACUGAUGCGC
rnacentral:rRNA from 1 species